rnacentral:rRNA from 1 species
UUUAAGUGUAAAUAUAAAUUCUAAAUUAGUAUUAGUUAUAGUCUUGAAAGUUAAAGAUUUUGGCGGUAUUUUAGUCUUUUCAGAGGAACCUGUUCUGUAAUCGAUAGUCCACGAUUAAUUUGACUUAUUUUAUUAAUUUGUAUAUCGUCGUAGUUUGAAUAUUUUAUAAGAAUUUUUAAUAUUCAAGAUUUUUUAUAAAAAAAGAAAUCAGAUCAAGGUGCAGUUUAUGAAUAAGGAGAAAUGGGUUACAAUAACGAUAGUUAUAUGGUAUAAGAAAUGAAAUUUUUUUAUUAAAUUGGAUUUGAAAGUAAUAUAAUUUAUUUUAAUUAUAUGAUUUAAGCUCUAAAAUAUGC